CCUACGGGAGGCAGCAGUGGGGAAUAUUGCACAAUGGGGGAAACCCUGAUGCAGCGACGCCGCGUGAGUGAAGAAGUAUUUCGGUAUGUAAAGCUCUAUCAGCAGGGAAGAAAAUGACGGUACCUGAUUAAGAAGCCCCGGCUAACUACGUGCCAGCAGCCGCGGUAAUACGUAGGGGGCAAGCGUUAUCCGGAUUUACUGGGUGUAAAGGGAGCGUAGACGGCAGGGCAAGUCUGGAGUGAAAGGCCGGGGCUUAACCCCGGAACUGCUCUGGAAACUGUGCAGCUGGAGUGCAGGAGAGGUAAGUGGAAUUCCUAGUGUAGCGGUGAAAUGCGUAGAUAUUAGGAGGAACACCAGGGGCGAAGGCGGCUUACUGGACUGUAACUGACGUUGAGGCUCGAAAGCGUGGGGAGCAAACAGGAUUAGAUACCCCUGUAGUC
rnacentral:rRNA from 1 species